rnacentral:lncRNA from 1 species
CAGGGAGGGAACAUUCUGACCAGGAGUCAGGAGCAUGGAUCCUACUUGCUUCUCUCAUGUUUCACCCCUGAUUCCGAGCGUGACCUUGGCAAACACCAAUCAGAAGCAUCUGAAACAAACAGACCACAGAAACUGGAGUCAAAACCAGCAUUUUGUCAACUGAUUAGAUAGCAGUUAGUUUAAUGCUAACAUUAAUCAAGGUCUGAUUGCUCCAUUGUGAGGAACAAGAACUAUGUGCUGAGAUUAAUAUGCAAGAUCUGGUUCAGAAUGUUUCUGCAGAAACCCCCACGCAGUAAUUAAGAAGAACACCAAAUGAAGGUUAUUGAUCCGUUGUGUUAUUGAGAAACAACAUAAUUGAUAUUUCAGACCUUAAUUGUUGAUUCCAAAGUAAAAGAGACAGUUUGUACAGAUCAUUAGUAACAGAGUUUUUUGUUCUUAUAAUUUAAACCAAAAUAUUGAGUUCAAAUGUUACCCU